rnacentral:ncRNA from 2 species
AGGCAGGAGAAGGCUCGAGGUGCCCCGCGAGGGGAGAAUCGGGAAGCCGGUGAGAAUCCGGCACAGGGCCCGCUGCGGUGACCCGGACGCUCCGAGAGGAGCUGGGCCGGGAAGUCCGAAGACCGGCCUCGCGCCUGACCGACGG